rnacentral:rRNA from 1 species
CCUACGGGAGGCAGCAGUGAGGAAUAUUGGUCAAUGGUCGGGAGACUGAACCAGCCAAGCCGCGUGAGGGAUGAAGGUACAGAGUAUCGUAAACCUCUUUUGUCAGGGAACAAAGGCGUGGACGUGUCCCCGGAUGAGUGUACCUGAAGAAAAAGCAUCGGCUAACUCCGUGCCAGCAGCCGCGGUAAUACGGAGGAUGCGAGCGUUAUCCGGAUUUAUUGGGUUUAAAGGGUGCGGAGGCGGUCUGUUAAGUCAGCGGUAAAACCCCGGGGCUCAACCCCGGCCCGCCGUUGAAACUGGCAGUCUCGAGUUGGAGAGAAGUAUGCGGAAUGCGCGGUGUAGCGGUGAAAUGCAUAGAUAUCGCGCAGAACUCCGAUUGCGAAGGCAGCAUGCCGGCUCCACACUGACGCUGAGGCACGAAAGCGUGGGUAUCGAACAGGAUUAGAUACCCGUGUAGUC